rnacentral:rRNA from 1 species
UGGGGAAUAUUGCACAAUGGGCGCAAGCCUGAUGCAGCCAUGCCGCGUGUGUGAAGAAGGCCUUCGGGUUGUAAAGCACUUUCAGCGGGGAGGAAGGCGAUAAGGUUAAUAACCUUGUCGAUUGACGUUACCCGCAGAAGAAGCACCGGCUAACUCCGUGCCAGCAGCCGCGGUAAUACGGAGGGUGCAAGCGUUAAUCGGAAUUACUGGGCGUAAAGCGCACGCAGGCGGUCUGUCAAGUCGGAUGUGAAAUCCCCGGGCUUAACCUGGGAACUGCAUUCGAAACUGGCAGGGUAGAGUCUUGUAGAGGGGGGUAGAAUUCCAGGUGUAGCGGUGAAAUGCGUAGAGAUCUGGAGGAAUACCGGUGGCGAAGGCGGCCCCCUGGACAAAGACUGACGCUCAGGUGCGAAAGCGUGGGGAGCAAACAGG